GACGAACGCUGGCGGCGUGCUUAACACAUGCAAGUCUAACGGAAAGGCCCUGCUUUUGUGGGGUGCUCGAGUGGCGAACGGGUGAGUAACACGUGAGUAACCUGCCCUUGACUUUGGGAUAACUUCAGGAAACUGGGGCUAAUACCGGAUAGGAGCUCCUGCUGCAUGGUGGGGGUUGGAAAGUUUCGGCGGUUGGGGAUGGACUCGCGGCUUAUCAGCUUGUUGGUGGGGUAGUGGCUUACCAAGGCUUUGACGGGUAGCCGGCCUGAGAGGGUGACCGGCCACAUUGGGACUGAGAUACGGCCCAGACUCCUACGGGAGGCAGCAGUGGGGAAUAUUGCACAAUGGGCGGAAGCCUGAUGCAGCAACGCCGCGUGCGGGAUGACGGCCUUCGGGCUGUAAACCGCUUUCGCCUGUGACGAAGCGUGAGUGACGGUAAUGGGUAAAGAAGCACCGGCUAACUACGUG
rnacentral:rRNA from 1 species